ACGCACAACUGUACUCCGAAUGAACACAAAAGCGCGCAUACGCCGAACCCCUCCACGAACACACACAAUACAGAUGAACACACACCCAGCACCGCACGUAGAGGCGCACGCUUAGCAUCCCAACCUCCCAAAACACCAUACGAACCGAGCCUGUUCCAGGACCUUGCAGACCGAGACGCUUCUCGUCCCCCGUGCCCGCAGCCACCCAGGGCGAGAAACCUGGGAGAAAGGGGGUCCCCGGCCCCCGGCUAGGACUCUACCUUCUCGGGGCACGCAGAGGCAGCAGCCGGAGCACUGGACUAGCUGGUGCAGGACAAGGUCCCAUUUAGUAAUCCAUGAUUGGGGGUCUCUCUGAGCGCCGGACUCCGCACUCUCCUCCUUCGCAAUUCUUUGUCAUUCCUACAUGGGGCUUCUUAUCGCGCGGAGGGGAGCGUAGGUGGGCGCUGUGGAAAAGGGUCCUAGUUUCUGGGAAACAGAUAGAAUUUGCUGUUCAUUUCCAAUGAUGGGAGAAAGGGGGAGGGAGGCUGGCAGGGCGGGAAGCCAAAGAAACAAACCCAGAAGCAAAAAGGGGUCAUACAACACUUCUAACGAUCCCGAUCUCACUCCAGUUCCAAGCAGGUAAGACCCCUUCAGUCGGAGCUCCGCCGACAACAAGUCAUUGCAAGGCGGGGAAGGGGAGACGGGGACGAGGGGAGAGGGGAGGGUCCUUGUCCAAAUUCUUGGUGUGUGGGGUUUUGUUUGGGUUUUCUCUCUGCCAGAAGUGCUGCCGCUGCUGCUGCUGCUGCUGCUGCUGCUGCUGCUGACCGUCGGCGGUGUUGACUGUCUCAGAAAAGUCCUAAACGGGCAUCGCUCUGCUGAUCCCAGCCGAAGAGCGCCGCUGCUCCCAGCCCGAAGCGCCUGCUCAUUGGAGUGCGUUCGGGGAGGGGAGUUCAAACAGUCCCCUGCGCUCCGGCUCCGGCUCCCGCUCCGGCGAACGAAGCGUCUUCAGGGUGGGACCAAAUCCCGGACUGGAUCGCCGGCAGGUAGUUCGUGUUUUGAGGUUGGGAAACUAGAACUUUCUCCGCAGAGCCAUGCCAAGGGUGUCGGAGAUGUGGUUGAGACCACAGGUACGCAUCUGGGGGGGCGGGGGCCUCCCCAGACUCCAGUACCAUGAAGAGGUAAUAUAUGGGUCUCCACUCCCAUCAGCCUGAAUUCAUUCAUUCAAGAAUAUUUGUCGAGCGCUUACUAUGUGCAGAGCACUGUACUAAGCGCUUGGAAUGUACACCUCGGCAACAGCUAGAGACAAUCCCUGCCCAAUAACGGGCUCACAGUCUAAACGCGGCCACACAGUGUGUGUGGUCAAUCAAACAUUCUAUGGCA
rnacentral:lncRNA from 1 species